rnacentral:rRNA from 1 species
AUACGGAGGGUCCGAGCGUUAAUCGGAAUUACUGGGCGUAAAGCGCGCGUAGGCGGAUAUUUAAGUCAGAUGUGAAAUCCCUGGGCUCAACCUAGGAACUGCAUUUGAAACUGGAUAUCUAGAGUAUGGUAGAGGUGAGUGGAAUUUCAGGUGUAGCGGUGAAAUGCGUAGAGAUCUGAAGGAACAUCAGUGGCGAAGGCGACUCACUGGGCCAUUACUGACGCUGAGGUGCGAAAGCGUGGGUAGCAAACAGGAUUAGAAACCCGAGUAGUCC